UCCUACGGGAGGCAGCAGUGGGGAAUUUUGGACAAUGGGCGAAAGCCUGAUCCAGCAAUGCCGCGUGUGUGAAGAAGGCCUUCGGGUUGUAAAGCACUUUUGUCCGGAAAGAAAUCCUUGGCUCUAAUACAGUCGGGGGAUGACGGUACCGGAAGAAUAAGCACCGGCUAACUACGCGCCAGCAGCCGCGGUAAUACGUAGGGUGCGAGCGUUAAUCGGAAUUACUGGGCGUAAAGCGUGCGCAGGCGGUUUGCUAAGACCGAUGUGAAAUCCCCGGGCUCAACCUGGGAACUGCAUUGGUGACUGGCAGGCUAGAGUAUGGCAGAGGGGGGUAGAAUUCCACGUGUAGCAGUGAAAUGCGUAGAGAUGUGGAGGAAUACCGAUGGCGAAGGCAGCCCCCUGGGCCAAUACUGACACUCAUGCACGAAAGCGUGGGGAGCAAACAGGAUUAGAUACCCUGGUAGUCCACGCUGUAAACGGUGGGUACUAGGUGUGGGGUCCAUUCCACGGGUUCCGUGCCGUAGCUAACGCUUUAAGUACCCCGCCUGGGGAGUACGGCCGCAAGGCUAAAACUCAAUGGAAUUGACGGGGCCCCGCACAAGCGGCGGAGCAUGCGGAUUAAUUCGAUGCAACGCGUAGAACCUUACCUGGGUUUGACAUGGAUCGGGAGCGCUCAGAGAUGGGUGUGCCUCUUUUGGGGUCGGUUCACAGGUGGUGCAUGGCUGUCGUCAGCUCGUGUCGUGAGAUGUUGGGUUAAGUCCCGCAACGAGCGCAACCCUUGUUCACUGUUGCCAGCACGUUAUGGUGGGGACUCAGUGGAGACCGCCGGGGUCAACUCGGAGGAAGGUGGGGAUGACGUCAAGUCCUCAUGGCCCUUAUGGGUAGGGCUUCACACGUCAUACAAUGGUCGGAACAGAGGGUUGCCAACCCGCGAGGGGGAGCUAAUCCCAGAAAACCGAUCGUAGUCCGGAUUGCACUCUGCAACUCGAGUGCAUGAAGCUGGAAUCGCUAGUAAUCGCGGAUCAGCAUGC
rnacentral:rRNA from 1 species